rnacentral:tRNA from 1 species
GCCGUCCUAGCUCAGUGGUAGAGCAAUUGUUUUGUAAACAAUAGGUCCUGGGUUCAAAUCCCAGGGACGGCUCCA